CGGUAUACGCUUCUUCUGUAUGAACCUUUGAUUGAGCCCAUUUCUCAGCUUUCCUCUCACUUCUCCACCUUAACGUUUUCGAGCGAUCCAUGCACCUUACCCGCCACCCCCGUGAUAGCGAGAAACACGGUACCACACCGCACCACCCUUACUAUCUUCACCUAAAAACAUUCGCCUGCCGCCUUUCGGAAUAACCGACCGUCUCUGCAAGCUCGCCCGUAAAGCUUUCCUUAAGAAACUAUUGGCUAGCGAUUGUGCUGCGAUCUUACUGUCAUCCUGUCAUCCGCCGCCAUUGAGGUAUCGUUUCCAUCCUUCUACAGUGAUGAUAUAUAUUGACAAGUUUAUUUUUUGAUUCUUUUACAUUUUCUUUUUAUAUUUACAUGUUUUAUAUAUAUAUAUAUAUUCUAUAUAUUUUUCACUAAAAUAUUGAUUUUGAAUUCAUUAAAAUUUUAAGUACCAAAGAAAAAUCAAAAAUUGUAUCAUACAAAUAUGUUUCUAGUUUAAAAAAUAAUUCUUGAAAAUUAUUUUUUUUAUAGUUUAUUACUUAUAUAUAAAUUUGUACAGAAUAAUUUGUAUACAUUGCAUUAAUAUAUACUUCAAAUUGAUUUUCAUGUAUCAAUUUGGAAAUACGUGUAAAAAAUAUAUGUGCUAUAUAUAAAUAUAGGAAAAUCUUUUUGUAAAAUUUAUCGGUGGUCUGUCAAUAAUACAACUAAAUGUGCAUAGAUUUCUAUUAAACAUUGUUCAGUUAGAAACUAUGUACGAUUUAUAAAUCAUAUUUUUAUUGACUUAAAUACGUUUCACUAUUUCGUUUCGGCAAUUUGGAAAUACAAAGAUAUAAGCCAAUUACUAAUAAAAUAAUUAACGGAAGGCCAAGACCAAUUGAAAUAAUCAUAAUUACUAAAUAAGAAAA